GAUGAACGCUGGCGGCGUGCCUAAUACAUGCAAGUCGAGCGAACAGACGAGGAGCUUGCUCCUCUGACGUUAGCGGCGGACGGGUGAGUAACACGUGGAUAACCUACCUAUAAGACUGGGAUAACUUCGGGAAACCGGAGCUAAUACCGGAUAAUAUAUUGAACCGCAUGGUUCAAUAGUGAAAGACGGUUUUGCUGUCACUUAUAGAUGGAUCCGCGCCGCAUUAGCUAGUUGGUAAGGUAACGGCUUACCAAGGCAACGAUGCGUAGCCGACCUGAGAGGGUGAACGGCCCCACGGGAACUGAGAAACGGUCCAGACCCCCAGGGGAGGCAGGAGUAGGGAAUCUUCCGCAAUGGGCGAAAGCCGGAGGGAGCAACGCCGCGGGGGUGAUGAAGGUCUUCGGAUCGUAAAACUCUGUUAUUAGGGAAAAAAAAAUGUGUAAGUAACUAUGCACGUUUUGACGGUACCAAAACAGAAAGCCACGGCUAACUACGU
rnacentral:rRNA from 1 species